rnacentral:rRNA from 1 species
AACGAACGCUGGCGGCAUGCCUAACACAUGCAAGUCGAACGAGACCUUCGGGUCUAGUGGCGCACGGGUGCGUAACGCGUGGGAACCUGCCCUUAGGUUCGGAAUAACUCCCCGAAAGGGGUGCUAAUACCGGAUAAUGUCUUCGGACCAAAGAUUUAUCUCCUUUGGAUGGGCCCGCGUUGGAUUAGCUAGUUGGUAGGGUAAAAGCCUACCAAGGCGACGAUCCAUAGCUGGUCUGAGAGGAUGAUCAGCCACACUGGGACUGAGACACGGCCCAGACUCCUACGGGAGGCAGAAGUGGGGAAUAUUGGACAAUGGGCGAAAGACUGAUCCAGCAAUGCCGCGUGAGUGAUGAAGGCCUUAGGGUUGUAAAGCUCUUUUAACCGGGAUGAUAAUGACAGUACCGGGAGAAUAAGCGCCGGCUAACUCCGUG